rnacentral:misc_RNA from 1 species
AUACCCUCAAGCUCUGCUUGGUGUUGGAGGCCGCCCCAGUGGGGCGCCCCCGAAAGUUAGCGGCGACGUAGCCGGCUCCCUGGCGUAGUGACUGCUGUCGCCCUGGGGUCGGUCGUGCGUCUGCCGGACAACAACCAAUCUAUGA